UGGCUCAGGACGAACGCUGGCGGCGUGCCUAACACAUGCAAGUCGAGCGGAGUCGGUAAGAGGAAGUUUCGGAUGGAAUCUUAUUGAUUUAGCGGCGGACGGGUGAGUAACGCGUGAGCGACCAACCUUGCACAGGGGGAUAACGGACCGAAAGGUUCACUAAUACCGCAUGAGACCACGGUGUUGCAUGACACAGAGGUCAAAGGAGCAAUCCGGUGCAAGACGGGCUCGCGUCCGAUUAGGUAGUUGGAGGGGUAACGGCCCACCAAGCCUAUGAUCGGUAGCCGACCUGAGAGGGUGAUCGGCCACAUUGGAACUGAGAUACGGUCCAAACUCCUACGGGAGGCAGCAGUGGGGAAUAUUGGGCAAUGGGGGGAAAAACCCCCUGACCCAGCAACGCCGCGUGAAGGAAGAAGGUUUUCGGAUUGUAAACUUCUGUCCUUGGUGAAGAGAAGAAGACGGUAGCCAAGGAGGAAGCCCCGGCUAACUACGUGCCAGCAGCGGC
rnacentral:rRNA from 1 species